GACAGAGGCCCCAAGCGUUUAGGCGGAAUCACUGGGCUUAAAGCGUGUGUAGGCGGACGCCUAAGUGUCUUGUGAAAUCCCACGGCUCACCCGUGGAACUGCUGGGCAUACUGGGCGUCUUGGGCCAACUAGGGGCAGCCGGAACAAGCGGUGGAGCGGUGAAAUGCGUAGAUAUCGCUUGGAACGCCGAAGGUGAAAACAGGCUGCUGGGGUUGCGGCCGACGCUGAGACACGAAAGCCAGGGGGAGCAAACGGGG
rnacentral:rRNA from 1 species